UCCCUGGUAGCUCAGACGGUAAAGCGUCUGCCUACAAUGCUGGAGACCUGGGUUCAAUCCCUGGGUCGGGAA
rnacentral:tRNA from 1 species